GACGAACGCUGGCGGCGUGCUUAACACAUGCAAGUCGAACGGAAAGGCCCUGCUUUUGUGGGGUGCUCGAGUGGCGAACGGGUGAGUAACACGUGAGUAACCUGCCCUUGACUUUGGGAUAACUUCAGGAAACUGGGGCUAAUACCGGAUAGGAUCUCCUGCUGCAUGGUGGGGGUUGGAAAGUUUCGGCGGUUGGGGCUGGACUCGCGGCUUAUCAGCUUGUUGGUGGGGUAGUGGCUUACCAAGGCUUUGACGGGUAGCCGGCCUGAGAGGGUGACCGGCCACAUUGGGACUGAGAUACGGCCCAGACUCCUACGGGAGGCAGCAGUGGGGAAUAUUGCACAAUGGGCGGAAGCCUGAUGCAGCAACGCCGCGUGCGGGAUGACGGCCUUCGGGUUGUAAACAGCUUUCGCCUGUGACGAAGCGUGAGUGACGGUAAUGGGUAAAGAAGCACCGGCUAACUACGUG
rnacentral:rRNA from 1 species